GCCGGAGUGGCGGAACUGGCAGACGCGCUGGACUCAAAAUCCAGUGUCCGUUGAGGACGUGUGGGUUCGAACCCCAUCUCCGGUA
rnacentral:tRNA from 1 species